rnacentral:rRNA from 1 species
CGUUGGGCGAUACAAUACCAUGCAGGUCGAGCGGUAGAGAGGUGCUUGCACCUCUUGAGAGCGGCGGACGGGUGAGUAAAGCCUAGGAAUCUGCCUGGUAGUGGGGGAUAACGCUCGGAAACGGACGCUAAUACCGCAUACGUCCUACGGGAGAAAGCAGGGGACCUUCGGGCCUUGCGCUAUCAGAUGAGCCUAGGUCGGAUUAGCUAGUUGGUGAGGUAAUGGCUCACCAAGGCGACGAUCCGUAACUGGUCUGAGAGGAUGAUCAGUCACACUGGAACUGAGACACGGUCCAGACUCCUACGGGAGGCAGCAGUGGGGAAUAUUGGACAAUGGGCGAAAGCCUGAUCCAGCCAUGCCGCGUGUGUGAAGAAGGUCUUCGGAUUGUAAAGCACUUUAAGUUGGGAGGAAGGGCAUUAACCUAAUACGUUAGUGUUUUGACGUUACCGACAGAAUAAGCACCGGCUAACUCUGUGCCAGCAGCCGCGGUAAUACAGAGGGUGCAAGCGUUAAUCGGAAUUACUGGGCGUAAAGCGCGCGUAGGUGGUUCGUUAAGUUGGAUGUGAAAUCCCCGGGCUCAACCUGGGAACUGCAUUCAAAACUGUCGAGCUAGAGUAUGGUAGAGGGUGGUGGAAUUUCCUGUGUAGCGGUGAAAUGCGUAGAUAUAGGAAGGGAACACCAGUGGCGAAAGCG